rnacentral:rRNA from 1 species
GAUGAACGCUGGCGGCGUGCCUAAUACAUGCCAGUCGAGCGAACAGACGAGGAGCUUGCUCCUCUGACGUUAGCGGCGGACGGGUGAGUAACACGUGGAUAACCUACCUAUAAGACUGGGAUAACUUCGGGAAACCGGAGCUAAUACCGGAUAAUAUAUUGAACCGCAUGGUUCAAUAGUGAAAGACGGUUUUGCUGUCACUUAUAGAUGGAUCCGCGCCGCAUUAGCUAGUUGGUAAGGUAACGGCUUACCAAGGCGACGAUGCGUAGCCGACCUGAGAGGGUGAUCGGCCACACUGGAACUGAGACACGGUCCAGACUCCUACGGGAGGCAACAGUAGGGAAUCUUCCGCAAUGGGCGAAAGCCUGACGGAGCAACGCCGCGUGAGUGAUGAAGGUCUUCAGAUCGUAAAACUCUGUUAUUAGGGAAGAACAAAUGUGUAAGUAACUAUGCACGUCUUGACGGUACCUAAUCAGAAAGCCACGGCUAACUACGUG